GAGCAGUGGAUUUUUAAGAAGAGAGAAUGCCGGAAUGAGUAGCGAGAGGAAGGUGAGAAUCCUUCCGGCCGAAUAUCUAAGGUUUCCAGAGUAAAGCUGAUCUGCUCUGGGUAAGUCGGGGCCUAAGGCGAGGUCGAAAGACGUAGUCGAUGGAUAACAGGUUGAAAUUCCUGUACUAUGAUAUGACAGAACUGUGGGGACACGUGUGGAAAGCGGAAGCCGGGAAUGGAAAGACCGGUGCAAGCAAGGUAGGAGACUGGUUGGCAAAUCCGCCAGUCAAUCUGAAGAUGUGAUGCGUACUGAAAUAUAAGUAAGGAAGUCCGUGAGCCAUGCGUCAAGAAAAGCCGCUAUUGUUCAUAUCGUACCCGUACCGUAAACCGACACAGGUGGAUGAGGAGAGAAUCCUAAGGCCGACGGGAGAAGCAUUGUUAAGGAACUCGGCAAAAUGACUCCGUAACUUCGGGAGAAGGAGUGCCAGUGAGAGCUGGCCGCAGAGAAUUGGCCCAAGCAACUGUUUAGCAAAAACACAGGUCUAUGCAAAACCGAAAGGUGAAGUAUAUGGGCUGACGCCUGCCCGGUGCUGGAAGGUUAAGGGGAGAGGUUAGCGGUAACGCGAAGCUUUGAACUUAAGCCCCAGUAAACGGCGGCCGUAACUAUAACGGUCCUAAGGUAGCGAAAUUCCUUGUCGGGUAAGUUCCGACCCGCACGAAAGGCGUAAUGAUUUGGGCACUGUCUCGACAAUGCACCCGGUGAAAUUGAAAUACCAGUGAAGAUGCUGGUUACCUGCGCCAGGACGGAAAGACCCCAUGGAGCUUUACUCCAGCUUGAUACUGGGAUUCGAUAUUGCAUGUACAGGAUAGGUGGGAGAC
rnacentral:rRNA from 1 species